GAGUUUCUAAUUUUUAGUUUCCUAUUUCAGUUUUUGGAAACUAAAGUUAGUUUCUAUUUUAUGUAACCCCUAUCACUGUUAUAAAUAAAGAUGAUGGCUCUUUUAAUGAGCCACGAUUUUGACAAACUACAUGGCUAUUGCUGCUGCUUUCUCUGCAAGAGAACUUCUUUGUGUUUGAUCAAGGAAGAAGGGCUUGUUGUCUGAUCUAGGUGACUCCUUGCGGUGUGAAGUCCAGGAGGGUUCUUAGUGUGUUUCCUUCUCUUCUUUACAAUCUAUAUUCAAGCUAAUAUUGCUACUACAACCAGGUAUUUAUUUUUAACUGCUGUCCAGAAAUUCUGCAACUGGUUCCAAUCGGCCUCCUCUUAAAAGGGCAGUUCCAGCCCUCGAUUUGAGCCCAGAUUUUGAUCGAUUGUUUAUCCAUAUACUACUAAGGAUCGAUCUUAGUUUGGACUGUUUCUGAGGAGCCUAUAGAGAGAUAUUCAAAAUCUCCCUAUUUUUGUCUUCUAGCGGCUUUAGCUUCUAUUUUCUGGAUUCGACAUCUCUGCUAUUAUUACUGCUGAUUUCUGGACUCCUGAUCAUACUUGAGAAGAACUUGAAGUGGUUAAUACACUUAGUCAGUCCCUGGUUUAGUUCUAAGGGCUGCUGCUCUCUUUGUUUAUUCUUUGUGCUAAUAUUCCUUAAGAUCGAUAGUGCUACUAGACUGUUAUGUGAAGUCUGAUUUCUCAUAUAUCUGUGGAGCUGGUUUUGGUUGUUGUUUGGUCUACAAGUUCCUGUUGUUGGGUCUAGUUUGAUUUUUUAGAUCUAGUCUUACAUUAACAGAUUUGUAGGGCAAAAAAGAUGGUUGAUGAUGAAGGUAAGGUGAAGAUAGAAGAUGGUAUGAUUUUUGAUGAUGUUGAAUAUUUUAGGAAGGAACUGAAAGAAUUUGCAAUCCAAGAGGGUUUUCAGAUUCAAGGAAUAAAGAAUGAGAGGACCAGGGUCACUAUUAUUUGUGUAAAGGAAAGUUGUGUGUGGAGGAUUCAUGCUUCACCCACUGAAGACAAAGUGAAUUUUAUGGUUAAGUCAUAUAAUCCUAUGCAUACUUGUUCUCAGAGAAAAGAGAGAUGCAACCUUUAGAUGGAUAGUUAAGAAAUUUGGUCCACAACUCAAAGAAAAUUCUGAACUUUUUACUAAGAGUAUGAAAGUCAUAUUGUUCAGGGAGUAUCAGCUUGAACCAUGUUACAUGAAAAUUUAGAAGGUUCGGCUUCUUGCCAAAGAAACUAAUGAGGGCAACCAUGCCAAAUCAUACUAAACUACCAAAGUAUGCAAAGAUGGUUAGACAGACAAACCCAGGUUCAAUAUUUAAGCUAUAAUUCUAUGCAAGAAAUAACAUGGCUGACAAUCCAGUUUUUAAAGGGUGCUUUGUUUGUUAUGAAACUAGAUGGAUGCCAUUUAAAUGGAAAAUUUAGAGGGAUUCUACUCUCAACUAUUUCUAUGGAUGGAAACUGGGUUAUUUCCACUUGCAUUAGGUAUUGUGAAAUUUGAGUACAAAGGUAGCUGGAUGUUUUUUCCUGAACAACCUAUAUACUGCAUUUCAUUCUACUUCAGAUGGCAUAGGUUACCUAACUUUUAUGUCAGAUAAGCAAAUUGUGUGGUUGAUUACCUUUUUUGUUUAGAUUUUUUUUUUGUUAUAUUUUAUUUAUUUAUUUAUGCCCUUUACUAUGGCUAUGUCAAACACAUAUUGACUACAAUUUUUUCCUUCUUGUGUGAUGUGUAAGGUCUAACUAAUGCUACAAGAGAGGUUUUACCUAAGUCUCAUACUAGGCAUUGCAGCAGGCACUUUUAUGCCAACUUCAAGCUCACUUAUCGAAAAAAGAAACUGAAAUCAUAUUUUGGGCUGCAUCUAGGUCUUAUAGAGAAGUUGACUUUAGAGAGGUAAUGAAUGAGAUGAGGAGCAUCAACAAGGAAGCACAUGAUUGACUGAUGAAAAAUUCUCCUGGUACAUAAUCCAAACAUGCAUUUGAUCACCAAGCAAAGAACGAUCACAUAGCCAAUAAUAUAAUAGAGUUCUUUAACCAUUGGGUAGGACCGUAUAGAGACAAACUCAUCUUAUAUCUGAUUGAUCAACUGAGAAUUAGCUUGAUGGAUAAAUUGCAGAUGGGGUUUCAGUAAGGUUGUUCUUAUAAAAGGAAAUUAACACCUAAGAUUAAAAAGCAAUUAGAUUCAAUAAUCCAUCAACAUUCAAGAUCAUAUAUGGCCAUAUGUGUAUGUCAAAAUGAGUUUGAGGUGAAUGAUGGCACAUCAAGGUUCGUAGUGAACUUGAAUACUAAGUGGUGUCAGUGUCAAGUGUGGGAGACAAGUGGGAUGCCAUGUAAUCAUGUAGCCUAUUGUAUUGCAUACAAGAGGGAAAGGCUUCAAGACUAUUGUGACAGUUUUUAUUCUCUAAGGAAUCUGAAUACAUAUGAGAACAUGAUACAUCCAUUGCCUAAUUUUUCAUGGUUGGAAGAUACAAGUACUAUGAUUGUGGUAGAGCCUCCACCUUUGAGAAGACAACCAGGCAGACUCCACAAGAAUAGGAAAAGGGAGGAUAGUGUGCCAGCUAUGGGAGAGUUUAGAAAGAGGUCUUCAUCAGUAUGAUGUGAGAGAUGCAAGCUUGCUGGUCAUAACAGAAGAACAUACAAAGGUGGUAAAAGGAAAAGGAAAAGGGCAUAAUCAUCAAAUAAAUCAGCUAUUGUGAAGAAUCGGAAUGUAGUGGGCAGCUAGAUUGAUAUCAAUAUUUCUCAAAGAUAUAGAUCACAUAAUGCAUCAAUAGACAAAGUUGAUAAUGUUCAAGCAGAAGAGCAAAAAUGGCAACAACUCGAGCAAGAAGACAUGAAAAAGAGGCUAUGAAGUCGCAAAUCUAGGAUUAAAUUUGGAUCCAGAUAGGGAUUUGUUGUAAUGGAACAGUGCUUUUUGGCAUAGUUCUUGUUCUUGUAAUGUACUUGGGGGAAAAAUGUUAGCCCAGUUUGAUAUGUUUGAUGUAAUUAGAGAACAAUGUUAGUUGAUGGAUUUCAUACUAUCAUGGUAUUUGGACAUAGUUUUUGUUUUGGAUGUAAACGAAUUUUUAGUUGAUGGAUUUCAUACUUUCCUUUGUGUUUUGAUUC